rnacentral:misc_RNA from 1 species
GUAACAAGGUUUCCGUAGGUGAACCUGCGGAAGGAUCAUUACCGAGUGCAGGUCUGCCCCCGGGCAGGCCUAACCUCCCACCCGUGAAUACCUGACCAACGUUGCUUCGGCGGUGCGCCCCCCCCGGGGGUAGCCGCCGGAGACCACACCGAACCUCCUGUCUUUAGUGUUGUCUGAGCUUGAUAGCAAACCUAUUAAAACUUUCAACAAUGGAUCUCUUGGUUCCGGCAUCGAUGAAGAACGCAGCGAACUGCGAUAAGUAAUGUGAAUUGCAGAAUUCAGUGAAUCAUCGAGUCUUUGAACGCACAUUGCGCCCCCUGGCAUUCCGGGGGGCAUGCCUGUCCGAGCGUCAUUGCUGCCCUUCAAGCCCGGCUUGUGUGUUGGGUCGUCGUCCCCCCCGGGGGACGGGCCCGAAAGGCAGCGGCGGCACCGCGUCCGGUCCUCGAGCGUAUGGGGCUUUGUCACCCGCUCGAUUAGGGCCGGCCGGGCGCCAGCCGGCGUCUCCAACCUUCUAUUUUACCAGGUUGACCUCGGAUCAGGUAGGGAUACCCGCUGAACUUAAGCAU